rnacentral:rRNA from 1 species
AUUGAACGCUGGCGGCAUGCUUUACACAUGCAAGUCGAACGGUAACAGGUUAAGCUGACGAGUGGCGAACGGGUGAGUAAUGCAUCGGAACGUGCUCGGUCGUGGGGGAUAACGCAGCGAAAGCUGCGCUAAUACCGCAUACGAUCUGAGGAUGAAAGCGGGGGACCGUAAGGCCUCGCGCGAUCGGAGCGGCCGAUGUCAGAUUAGGUAGUUGGUGGGGUAAAGGCCCACCAAGCCGACGAUCUGUAGCUGGUCUGAGAGGACGACCAGCCACACUGGGACGGAGACACGGGCCAGACUCCUACGGGAGGCAGCAGUGGGGAAUUGUGGACAAUGGGCGGAAGCCUGAUCCAGCAAUGCCGCGUGCAGGAAGAAGGCCUUCGGGUUGUAAACUGCUUUUGUACGGAGCGAAAAGGUCCUUUCUAAUACAAGGGGCUCAUGACGGUACCGUAAGAAUAAGCACCGGCUAACUACGUGCCAGCCGCCGCCGUAA